GAAGAGAAGAAGAAAAGAAAAGAAAAGAAAAAGCUGUCUCUGCUGUACAAGGACCACAGAUACAGGUACUGGACACAUCAGCCGCAUUUCACCUCUGUUGAGAUGAGAGGCCUGAGUUCUUGCUGCCUGGGUGCUGUUCCCAGGCCGUUGCUCCUUCUUGGGUCUCAGGACUCCAAGUUCCCCCAAGCCACAGAUUGCCCAUCCUAGUCAAGCACCUGGCGCAUAGGAAGCCUUCGAAAAAGGCUGAACAAAUCAGAGACUGGGCCAGCCCUGGGACUGCAGCCAAACCCCAGUCCUGGGAGCCAUGCCUCACUGACGCCGACCCAGUUGUUGGG